CCCGUGCUACAACCGCUCAGAACAGGUUGUAAGUUUUGCCUCGGCAAACGCCUGUGGAUGGCGAGUCUGAGUCUAAGA
rfam:Bacillus sp. SA2-6 scf7180000001182, whole genome shotgun sequence.